GAUCCUGGCUCAGGAUGAACGCUAGCUACAGGCUUAACACAUGCAAGUCGAGGGGCAGCAUGAUUGAAACUUGCUUCAAUUGAUGGCGACCGGCGCACGGGUGAGUAACACGUACCCAACCUGCCGAUAACUCGGGGAUAGCCUUUCGAAAGAAAGAUUAAUACCCGAUAGUAUAGUAUUUCCGCAUGGUUUCACUAUUAAAGAAUUUCGGUUAUCGAUGGGGAUGCGUUCCAUUAGAUAGUUGGG
rnacentral:rRNA from 1 species